rnacentral:rRNA from 1 species
AUAACGACUCUCGGCAACGGAUAUCUCGGCUCUCGCAUCGAUGAAGAACGUAGCGAACUGCGAUACUUGGUGUGAAUUGCAGAAUCCCGUGAAACCAUCGAGUCUUUGAACGCAAGUUGCGCCCGAAGCCAUUUGGCCGAGGGCACGUUUGCCUGGGUGUCACACG